rnacentral:rRNA from 1 species
UACAGAGGGUGCGAGCGUUGUUCGGAAUUAUUGGGCGUAAAGCGCGUGUAGGCGGGAUCGUAUGUCGGGUGUGAAAGCCCUCAGCUCAACUGAGGAAGUGCGCCCGAAACUGCGGUUCUUGAGUGUCGGAGAGGGUGGCGGAAUUCCCGGUGUAGAGGUGAAAUUCGUAGAUAUCGGGAGGAACACCAGUAGCGAAGGCGGCCACCUGGACGAACACUGACGCUGAGACGCGAAAGCGUGGGGAGCAAAC